rnacentral:rRNA from 1 species
CGCCUAACACAUGCAAGUCGAACGAAGUAGCAAUACUUAGUGGCAGACGGGUGAGUAACAUGUAGGUAUCUGCCCUUUGGCCUGGAAUAACACGAGGAAACUUGUGCUAAUACCGGAUAAGUCUUUACGGAGAAAGCUUUAUGCACCAUUGGAUGAGCCUGCACUUGAUUAGUUUGUUGGUGGGGUAAUGGCCUACCAAGACUGUGAUCAAUAGCUGAUUUGAGAGGAUGAUCAGCCACAUUGGGACUGAGACACGGCCCAAACUCCUACGGGAGGCAGCAGUGGGGAAUCUUGCACAAUGGAGGAAACUCUGAUGCAGCGAUGCCGCGUGAGUGAAGAAGGCCUUUGGGUUGUAAAGCUCUUUCGUCGGGGAAGAAAAUGACUGUACCCGAAUAAGAAGGUCCGGCUAACUUCGUGCCAGCAGCCGCGGUAAUACGAAGGGACCUAGCGUAGUUCGGAAUUACUGGGCUUAAAGAGUUCGUAGGUGGUUGAAAAAGUUGGUGGUGAAAUCCCAGAGCUUAACUCUGGAACUGCCAUCAAAACUUUUCAGCUAGAGUAUGAUAGAGGAAAGCAGAAUUUCUAGUGUAGAGGUGAAAUUCGUAGAUAUUAGAAAGAAUACCAAUUGCGAAGGCAGCUUUCUGGAUCAUUACUGACACUGAGGAACGAAAGCAUGGGUAGCGAAGAGGAUUAGAUACCCUCGUAGUCCAUGCCGUAAACGAUGUGUGUUAGACGUUGGAAAUUUAUUUUCAGUGUCGCAGCGAAAGCGAUAAACACACCGCCUGGGGAGUACGA